UACGUAGGGGGCAAGCGUUGUCCGGAAUUACUGGGUGUAAAGCGCGUGUAGGCGGCAGACCAAGUCGGCGGUGAAAGCGCCCGGCUCAACUGGGCGAGGUCCGUGGAAACUGGUCAGCUGGAGGACGGUAGAGGCGAGUGGAAUUCCCGGUGUAGUGGUGAAAUGCGUAGAGAUCGGGGAGGAACACCUGGUGGCGAAGGCGGCUCGCUGGGCCGGUCCUGAC
rnacentral:rRNA from 1 species